GGACCUACAGGGGGCAGCAGUGGGGAAUAUUGGGCAAUGGGCGCAAGCCUGACCCAGCAACGCCGCGUGAAGGAAGAAGGCUUUCGGGUUGUAAACUUCUUUUGACAGGGAAGAGCAGAAGACGGUACCUGUCGAAUAAGCCACGGCUAACUACGUGCCAGCAGCCGCGGUAAUACGUAGGUGGCGAGCGUUGUCCGGAAUUACUGGGUGUAAAGGGAGUGUAGGCGGGAAAGCAAGUCAGAAGUGAAAACUAUGGGCUUAACCCAUAGCCUGCUUUUGAAACUGUUUUUCUUGAGUGAAGUAGA
rnacentral:rRNA from 1 species